ensembl:rRNA 5S_rRNA 5S ribosomal RNA
GCCACAGCCAUAUCACCCUUUAGCCCAAGACUGCUUGCCCACUGAAGCUAAGCAGGGUUGAGCCUGGUCAGUACCUGGAUGGGAGACCUCCUGGGAAAACUAGGUUUGCUGCUGGAA